rnacentral:rRNA from 1 species
GAUGAACGCUGGCGGCGUGCCUAAUACAUGCAAGUCGAGCGAACGGACGAGAAGCUUGCUUCUCUGAUGUUAGCGGCGGACGGGUGAGUAACACGUGGAUAACCUACCUAUAAGACUGGGGUAACUUCGGGAAACCGGAGCUAAUACCGGAUAAUAUUUUGAACCGCAUGGUUCAAAAGUGAAAGACGGUCUUGCUGUCACUUAUAGAUGGAUCCGCGCUGCAUUAGCUAGUUGGUAAGGUAACGGCUUACCAAGGCAACGAUGCAUAGCCGACCUGAGAGGGUGAUCCGGCAACACGGAACUGAGAACCGGUCCAGGAUCCUACGGGAGGCAGGAGGAGGGAAUCUUUCGGCAAGGGGGAAAGCCUGAAGGAGCAACGCCGCGUGAGUGAUGAAGGUCUUCGGAUCGUAAAACUCUGUUAUUAGGGAAGAACAUAUGUGUAAGUAACUGUGCACGUCUUGACGGUACCUAAUCAGAAAGCCACGGCUAACUACGUG